AUUACAAGGCGGAAGUCCUGCCCGAGAGGACAGUCCCCAGGCCUUGCUAAGCAUGCGUGGUAUCAAGAGGUGCAUUGAGGCGCUCCUGCAGCCUCCUCCCGGCACGGGACUCCUCACAACCCCCAGCCUCAGCUUCCCUGACAGGGCAGGGGCUCACUCUUCUCCACUCCGGGCCAGGAACGCAGCCUGCUUGCCUUUUGUCCAAUUGGGUGCUCUUUCUUUGCGACUGAUACAAAGUGGGAACAAACUCCGCUUCCGGUGAUGCCCGGGCCCCAGGAGGCUGGGGGAGAAGUGCACGCUGCCCAGCCUUCAACCUGAACUGCCCCCAGCACUUCCGAGCCCCGACCCCUGCAGCUGUGAGGGAAGCCCCGACCUCUGCCCUGGCCACAUCCUUCCCCUGAUCUCAUGGCUGAAAAGCCACACCAGAAUUCCUGCAAUUCAGUGAGGCAGCUCUUCAAAACCAAGCAGCUGGUGACGCACAGGGACAGAGGGGCCCAGGGGCUGCUGGCUGCCAGGACCACCGCAUUGCAGAGGUCUCCCUUGCAGCAAGAGAUCUGGGAGUCCACAACGGCACUUGUUCUUCCAGGCAGGUAACUCACUGAAUGCUCACAGCCUGCGCCUCUCCUGCAUGGAGCUGAACCUGCCCUCUGCCCUGGCACCCCAGGGACUCACUGCCAAAGACGCUCACUUUCUGGGAGACACAGACCCCAUCCAGGAAGGGGCACGAGACCACGCUGCAGGAGGCCCCUUCCAAGACCGCCAAGCAUCUGUAGCAGCGCAGACCCUGAGCUGGGAGAGAGGGCAAGAAAACACACCCCUGGUGGAGAUUUAAGAUGCUAAUGACACAUGCGACGUAUGAGCAAGCAGGUGCAGCUACUGCACGUGUGCACCCAGAGGACCCCCCCAGAACAUGCUUCCUAGCAACACCUCUGCCCACCCGCUGAUUCUCUCGGCACCACGGGAACCACCUUCUCUACUCUCACUGAACACCCCUGGGAUGUAUCUGUAAAAAUUGGAACACCUUUCGGCUAGAAACCAGAGGAAGCCGCUCAUGACACCCGGGAGCUCACAGAGGCUCUGAAGUUUCUAUUCAAGAAAACAACUCCAGAUGGGGCUGAUCUGGAAGACAAGUAACAUCUUCCUUUUCUUGGUGCUCGCCUGCCGUGCUCUAGGUGCUUUUAGAGAUGCUGGUCUGUGUGCUAGGGAAGCGAUGAACCAUACUGUUAGUCUAUUAAACAUAACUCAACCUGGCUGGCUUUCCAUGACUACCAAACGCUGGGAAUAUGCCAGACCUGUGCCCGUGGAAGACUCUGGCCUCCCAGCACACCUCCAGGAACAAACUCCCUGGCCCGCAGGAUAGGGAUAGCAGCCCCAACCGUCAAUACAAAGGGAUUUUACUGAGUGGGCUCAUGGGUUCUUUAAGUUCCCCCUCUUAACGAUCAACGGUAAUUCAAACGUCCCAAAAGGAGAAAUGCUUUCUUAGCAUAUCUUUUACCUGGAGUAUUUCCCCUUCUGCCUUUACAGCAAUCAUGCCAGUUCUACCACUUUUGCAAGAAAGCUCCAAGAGAGUCAGUGUAGCUGAAACUUUGUCACUGGGUCACCUAUCUAGUCCAUAUGUCUGCAGGAAUUAUACUGAUAAAUGGACAACUCACCAUGCAAUCAAUCUCCCGCUCUAUCCUGUUCCCUGACCGGCAUGGUUUCUACUUCCUGUCAGCACAACUAGGACGUCUGGUUUCUGCUGGGCUGCCCUCUCAUGGGAAGCCUUUAAUCACUCUAGCUCAAUAUAUCCUCUGGGGACCAUCAACAUUUCCUAUUAAAGAUAACUACACCUGGCCGAGCGCGGUGGCUAACGCCUGUAAUCCCAGAACUUUGGGAAGCCAAGGCGGGUGGAUCACAAAGUCGGGAGAUCAAGACCAUCCUGGCUAACACAGUGAAACCCCUCCUCUACUAAAAAUACAAAAAAUUAGCCAGGCGUGGUGGUGGGUGCCUGUAAUCCCAGCUACUUGGGAGGCUGAGGCAAGAGAAUGGCGAACCUAGGAGGCAGAGUUUGCAGUGAGCUGAGAUGGUGCCACUGCACUCCAGCCUGGGGGACAGAGCUACACUCCAUCCC
rnacentral:lncRNA from 1 species